AACAAACUUACGUUGGUUUCAGAAAUAAUUAUUUUAUCAAUUUUAUUGUGACUUUUAUGAUUAUUACUAUAGCAAUCAUUCAUCUUCAUGUUAUAACUGCAUGGAGGCUCUGUUUGUUGCGACUUAUACUUUUAUUCAUAAACUUAACCUGGUUUUAAUUAAGCUCCAUAUAACAAAGAGACCUUGAUAUUGUGAGGUUGUUGUUAUAACUUGUUCAUCAAUGAUUUUAUCUUCAACAUAUGUUUGCUGUCUAACUAAGCAAAUAAAGAUGAAAGAGGAAGCCAGAGAAAUCGGGUGCUAGAAAACCUAAAGACUUUCUGUCUCAGAAGAGGCUCUGGUUCCACCAGAUCACCAACCAGCUCUGAGGAUGAACCUCCACAUCGUCUUCAUGAUGGCCCUGUGAUGGACUGGUGACCUGUC